UACACGCUGUGACUAGCAUAUCAAUAAGCGGAGGAAAAGAAACUAACAAGGAUUCCCCUAGUAACGGCGAGUGAAGCGGGAAGAGCUCAAAUUUGAAAUCUUAAAGGGUUUCCCUUUACGAAUUGUAGUUUAAAGAAGUGUUUUCUGUUGAGGUUUUGGUAAAAGGUUCUUUGGAAUAGGACAUCAUAGAGGGUGAGAAUCCCGUAUUUGACCUUUACUUUCAACUUUGUGAUACACUUUCAAAGAGUCGGAUUGUUUGGGAAUGCAGUCCAAAAUGGGUGGUAAAUUUCAUCUAAAGCUAAGUAUUGGCGAGAGACCGAUAGCGAACAAGUACCGUGAGGGAAAGAUGAAAAGAACUUUGAAAAGAGAGUUAAACAGUAGCGUGAAAUUGUCAAAAGGGAAGCGUUUGACACCAGUGUUGUUUUCUGAAAAUCAAUUAAAGAACUGUUUAUGCUAAGUUGUUUAGACUUUAUCAGCUAACUGUUUAGUUUUGAGCUUUUCUUUAAUGCACUUUUCAGUUAACAAGUCAACAUCAAUUUCUUUUGCUGUAAAAAAGCUUGAGGAAGGUGGCUUGAGAUUCGUCUUAAGUGUUUAUAGCCUCUUGCCUAUGCAGUCGGAGAGAUUGAGGUCUGCAGCGUAGAUCCUUCGGGGCUAAAUGCAUUUGUGCUAAGCUAUAGCAUUUUAUAGACAACUUGUUGACUAUGAUUUGUCUUGUAGCUUACUCGCUUAUGUUAUUUUACCUACGCUUAGGAUGUUGAAGAUGUAGCACAUCAU
rnacentral:rRNA from 1 species